CACCCAAAGUGAUAUCAAACCCUCCAUACUACUAUAAGUCACCACCUCCACCAUCACCGUCACCUCCUCCACCAUACUACUAUAAGUCCCCACCUCCACCAUCACCAUCUCCACCACCCCCAUACUAUUAUAAGUCACCACCUCCACCAUCACCAUCACCUCCUCCACCAUACUACUAUAAGUCCCCACCUCCACCAUCACCAUCACCUCCUCCACCAUACUACUAUAAGUCCCCACCCCCACCAUCACCAUCCCCACCACCACCUUACUAUUAUAAGUCCCCACCUCCACCCAAAGAGAUUUCACACCCUCCAUACUACUAUAAAUCACCACCCCCACCAUCACCGUCACCUCCUCCACCAUACUACUAUAAGUCCCCACCCCCACCAUCACCAUCCCCACCACCACCUUAUUAUUAUAAGUCUCCACCUCCACCCAAAGAGAUUUCACACCCUCCAUACUAUUAUAAGUCACCACCCCCGCCAUCACCAUCCCCUCCUCCGCCAUACUACUAUAAGUCACCACCCCCACCAUCUUCAUCCCCACCCCCACCAUAUUAUUACAAAUCUCCUCCACCACCAUCACCAUCACCACCACCUCCCUACUAUUACAAAUCACCUCCACCUCCUUCACCAUCACCACCACCUCCCUACUACUACAAAUCACCUCCACCACCAUCCCCAUCGCCACCACCUCCAUACUACUACAAAAGUCCCCCUCCACCAUCCCCCUCUCCUCCUCCCCCAUAUUACUACAAAUCUCCACCACCACCAUCACCAUCUCCACCUCCUCCCUACUAUUACAAAUCACCUCCUCCACCAUCACCAUCACCGCCACCUCCUUACUAUUACAAAUCUCCCCCACCUCCAUCUCCAUCUCCACCACCACCUUAUCAUUAUCAAAGUCCUCCUCCACCAUCUCCCAUUUCUCAUCCUCCCUACUAUUACAAAUCCCCUCCACCACCGUCGCCAUCUCCUCCACCUCCUUACCACUAUGUAAGUCCUCCACCACCAGUAAAGUCUCCUCCACCACCAGUUUAUAUAUAUGCUUCACCACCACCACCUAUCUACAACUAAGUUCAAAUUACAGAUGCACCAUUGAUGAUGAAUCAUGUAAGUUUAUCAUAUUUACUUUUAUGAAUGUAUGUGUGUUUUAUAAUAUAAUACUUAUAAAAGUUCUUAUUCGUGUUUGUUUUCAGGUUCCAGUUUUCAACUACGAAUAAAGUCAAGCUCCGUUUGGAGCAAAGUGAAAUAUCUAGCUUCGUACCCAUAUUUAUUAAAUAAAAGUCAGGAUGCAUCAUCUUUGAGCUACAAUAUUUGUCAUCGAGACAAAAUUUAUUUUAUUUCUUUGAUGACCAUCUUGCACUUCCUGAUCUUACUCUUUUCAAGUGACAGGCAAAUCAAAAUGGAGAAGCGUGAUUGAUUUAUUUGUGAUCUCUUAUAUUUAUUUGUGCAUAGAUCAAUAUGUACGUAUAUGAUAGUUUUCUAUUUAUUGAGAAAUUUUUUAUUGUAAUCUGUUAUCGUGUUUGCCAAAAGGUGUUAGCAAUAAAGAAUCGCAUUCAAUUUCUGCCUACACUAUUAAGUUUGUAUUUUUCUAACCACAAUCGUUCAUGCGAAUGUGAUGUAGCUGUUUAAAAUAGCUCCAAAUGAUGCAUAAAAAGCUUUCAAUCAAAUGAGACAGGGUCACGGUUACUCUUGUACCUAUUUAGUUAUCCAUACAUUUAUAUUCAUAGGGGUUAUAUGGUAUAGCUGCACUUAAUUAAUUGUUUAUGUAUGCAAGCUUUUCCUUUCCAUCAAUAAGCAAUGGUUAGAAGCAUUCUUCUACAUAUUCCUCUCUACUCUUCUAGAAUGAAUUGUUUAUUUCAUGUAAGAUGGUAUCAAAAGAUUCAAAACACACCACCUAAUGCUGCUAUGUAUAAAUAAAGUAUGACUACAAACUUUAUGACCCCUAAUUGAAAGAGAACUUAAAGUUUCAAGGUUUCUACACACAUUUUCAAGGAAGUAGGUUCCAAAUAUAACAUUAUCAUUCUCUGUACAAAUAUGACACUUCCAAGUAUUAUUUAUUGUAAGGAAUAGAAUGUACUCGUGAAUAGGGAAGACUUUUCAACAUCAAGUGGAUGAUGUUUUGCCUAAACUCGGCUGUUAUUGUUAACAUGGUGAAGUCUGGCUUUUUUGAAAAAUGGUUUUAGCAAACAAUCUAAUUGGAGAAUAUCAGUAGUUCAUGGCUUUAGACAAACCAACUGUUGUGCAUAUUUACUAGUUUGAUAGUUAAUUAAGGUCAUUCCUCCACAACUUUUUGAUUGGAUUCUAGUUUUCCUUCUUUGAGUACUUAAAAUUGAUAGAAACGUCAACUUUUUAAAUACUUUUUACUUAUAUUUCAUUUUAGAUUUCAUUUUCGAUGGAGUAUUUAUUAACCAAUGAUAUACGCAAGAGUCUCCCUCGUUUGAUUUCUUAAUUCAAUCAAUUUUUAUAUAUAAAAAAAGGACCCGAUAAUACAUCAAUGAUUGUAUUAAGAUAACUUCAGUUUGAAAAAUUGUACAACCCUAUACUACCUAUUACCUAAAUUAAACCCGAGAAUUUUAGGACCGUAAAGGUGGGUGGAGUGGUCGUCCAGAUAACUUUAACAUAAUUAGCUCUCCAAAAAUGGAAAAGUAAUCCUUUAUUUAAGCUAUGAUAUACACGCUUAUCUGCCCAACAUUAUAGUAAGAAUCCAAAAGGACUCACCUAAUCCCUCCAAUCCCUUUCUCUUUCUAGCUUUUCCACCCAACCACUGGUUCCACAAUUAUGGAAUCAAUAUCCAAUUAUGUUUACGAGGCGUGUCUAAUAUAUAGACCUCUCAGAAAAUGGUCAAGACUGUUACUAUUUUUUAGUAAAAAAAUAAUUUUAUAAUAAUAAAAAAUAAAAAGAAAAUAUAAUAUUUCAAUAAAAUUUAAUUAAAAAUAGUGAAGUUCACCAUUAGACCUAGACUAUAUUGGACAGUCCUAUCUUUAAGACUAAUUAUUGUGUGAAAAAUCAUCUAAUCGGAUUUUGUUACAUAACUCAAUACGAGUUGAGAUCUUAUCAAUUUCUCAAAAAAUAUAGAAUAUUCAAUUAUUAUAAUUUUGUAUUUCUAUAUUGACACACAUUUUUAAAACAUGUGACAUAAAUUAAACAUUUAUUAACUUUAUAUACACCAACAAUAUAGUAAUUAAACAAAUGAAAUGGAGAGGAUAUGAGGCUCAGCUGUCCUAUUACACGGCAUUGACUACCUUAAACAAUGUGUGAGAGAGAGGAGAACACGAUGGCAUUGUCCAACUUAAGUAUUAGUAGCUUCACAUGGAGACACAAUGCACCCAUUUUAUGGUAAUUUUAACAAAUGGGGCAUAUGUUCUGUCAACAAAAACAAAAAUAUGGGGCAGAUGCAACGAAAGUUACUGCCACCUUGGCCUUAAGAAAGAGUAAAUAAAUUGAUAUGUUGGACAAAACCAAAACGUUACUACAUUUCUCUUCUAGCUAGCAAAUCCAAAUCAGACAAUGGUGCUACAUUUAAUAUGUACAUUUCCACUAACAAUGGUGAAAAAAAAGAUAAUUGUCAAAUUUUAACAUCAAAGGGAGAAUUAAUCUCACGCCAUUUAAGAAGAAAAAUAUGAAAUAGAUAGUGGGAGAACACACUUGUCCAUCUUAUGUGAAAAUUUCAGAUGAUACGAUCCAUUCCUAGAAAUUAGAAUCACAUGUAAUUUUAAUCUGGAAGAUUGACUUUUCAGAAAAAUAAAACUAGAUUUGUUCACAAUAUCAUAGAGGAAUUUACAUGAUUUCCUCCCGUUGAAUUGUAGGACUAUUUCUUAUUGGCAAAGGCUUGGUUGUCCAUUUAAAAUAUUAUAUCACAUUAUCCAACAGCACCAAACCCAAUUUUCAUAACGGUAGUUUGCACGUUUCAUUCAUUUAUUGAUUCCAUAAUUUUAUGUUACAAGUCGACAUUGAUCAGUUGCUAAAAACUAUGCAACGACCAAAAAUAACUAGUAGUAUAUAUUUUAACACCGAGAUUUAUCAGACAGGAACAUAUGUAAAGACAAAUCAAAUGAAUGCCCAGUUUAAGUCAGAAUAAUAUAACACAUAAUAUAGUGUACACAGUUAAAAAAAAAAAAUCAAAUUUCACAAGACAAUAAAUGUAAUAUAAUUUUAUGCGCAGCUAACAAUUUUUCACUAGCUUUCGCCAUUAUGAUGUUUUGACUCUGUGUGCAUAUUUCAGUUAUAAGAUUAUUCCGUUUUAUGUUACUGAAAUACUAAUUCAACCAUUUGGCAUUGACAUAUUUCCAUCAUGAGUGCAUGUUUCUUUUUGUUUUAUUUUUCCUUUCUUUCUUUUGAAUAAUUUCUUCCUUUGUUACUAAAAUAACUUGAUCUUGAUAUACAUGAGAUAAAGCCUACACCUGAUACAAGGUAAAUGCAUUGGACAAAUAAAGCAAAAAACAAAGCUAUUCAGAAAGUGUAUUGCACAAACAGAGAAACUACUAAGAAAGGUUAAACUUUUUACUUUUAUAAUAAAUAUGAAAUUUGCUAAUUAUUUUUCCUGGUUAUUGUUCUUUUUAUUUUCUCCUUCAAAAUCAGCAAUAUGCAAUUGUGCAUUUCAUCCGGGAAACAUCAUCACAUGUUCAUCUCAUAAUUGAGAAGUCACAUAAUUUGGAUUACUCUAUCACAUUCAAAAAGUACACAUACAAAACAUGAAAAGUCAACUAUACAUUUCACGAUUAAAUGAAGAACACAAAAAUUCCAACCAAAGCUUGCAAUAGCUACCAUCAUGGGCUAGAACAAAAAUAAUGCCCAUUCAUGGAUAAGUAAGGCAAAACAGACUAGAUUCACAUUCCCUUCCCUCAAAAACAAUACAAAGUAAAAUUGAAAAAGAGAACAAGAGAGAAAAUGGUAAAAGAAAAAAAGCAUUUUGACAGUUACUUUUUUGUCAAGAUAAGCAACUCAGAAGGGAAGCUAUGAGGAAACUAUAGAAGAAUAGGACACAUUACUUCAAGUUCUCUAAUCAUUCCAUUUUGUCAAGAUGCUUAUUUAUAUUUUAAUUAUGACAAAAUACAUCUUAUAGUCUUUUAAGUUACACGAAAAUAUCAAAUUGGUCAUUUAACUUUUUUUGUAUCAAUUUAUGUUUGUAAAAGUUACACUGUUGAACUAUUUUUAGUCCCAACCUCAUUUCAAUCAUUUUUAGUUAAAUAUUUUUAAAUUGUAUUAUGAGUUUUGUAUCAAUCAUAAGAGGAAUAAUAUAUUAAAUUUUAUGUGAUUGCAUGAUGUAGAUUAAGAGAUUUUAGUGUUUAAUUUCAAAAAACACUAAAAUGUAUCUCACUCAAAUUCUAUUUUGUUUAAUUAUUUUUCUAAAAGUUGAUUGAAGGUCUAUGUUCUUAUGAUUAUUGCAAUCAAAAGCCUUUAAAAAUUAUAUGAGUUUAUCGAAAAAAUUAAGAGAAUUUUGAAUUUCAAUUUUGCUGAUGUAAAAUUAAGAUUAUCGGCGUAAACAUUUACAAACAUAAAAGGCAAACUUAACACUAAUGAAAAUAAAAGACUACGUUGUUACAACAAAAAAGGACUAAAUUGUUAAAAAUAAAAAAUAAAGGACUAAUUUUUAGUUUUCUUAUAACUUUAAAGACCACGGGAGAUAGAAAUAGUGACGGGUUACGGCCAUUGGAACUAGGAAGUAUAACAAUGUAAUGCGAAAGAAGUUGCCAACUGGGAGCAUUAUUUAAAGGACUUAAAUCAAAAUGAGUCAAAUCAAUAUUUGAAUUGGUCCUUAAUGAUAGCUGCCUCUUUACGACUUACUCUCACUACACUAUAAGUAUUAAGUCUCACAAGCAGCUUUUCACAUAAUCACAAACUCCAAAACCUCUCUUCUACCCUUCCACGGGAGAUAGAAAUAGUGACGGGUUACGGCCAUUGGAACUAGGAAGUAUAACAAUGUAAUGCGAAAGAAGUUGCCAACUGGGAGCAUUAUUUAAAGGACUUAAAUCAAAAUGAGUCAAAUCAAUAUUUGAAUUGGUCCUUAAUGAUAGCUGCCUCUUUACGACUUACUCUCACUACACUAUAAGUAUUAAGUCUCACAAGCAGCUUUUCACAUAAUCACAAACUCCAAAACCUCUCUUCUACCCUUCCAGCUUUUCCACCAUAUCAAAGAAUAUUAGUGAGGAUACAAUAACAGAAGCAUUGGAGGUGACAACUUUUUCUUUCUACCCAUGACAGAUAGAACCAGUUGCCCCAGAAGGGAUUAUAUCUGGCCACCAAUGGCAACGGCAUUGGCCAUUGUGUUAAUUUCCACAACUGUGGUUUCUGUUGCUGCUGAUAGUUACAUUUACUCUUCUCCACCACCACCUCCUUACGUGUACAAGUCACCACCUCCUCCAUCACCAUCAACUCCAACACAUUACAUUUACAAGUCUCCACCACCUCCACCCUAUGAGCACAAGUCUCCAUCUUAUGAGUACAAGUCUCCCCCACCUCCUUCACCAUCACCCCCACCACCAUAUGUGUACAACUCACCACCUCCUCCAUCACCAUCACCUCCACCUCCAUACAUAUACAAGUCACCAGCUCCUCCACCUUAUGAAUACAAGUCUCCAUACUAUUACACGAGUCCUCCACCAGCCUCUCCCUCACCUCCACCUCCAGACUAUUACAAAUCACCCCCACCACCUUCACCAUCUUCUCCACCACCAUACUAUUACAAAUCUCCUCCUCCUCCAUCUCCUAUUCCCCAUACACCUUACUACAAUAAGUCUCCACCACCAUACUAUUAUAACUCUCCACCUCCACAUAUUGUGUAUCCUCAACCACACCCCUACCACCACUCAUUGAUUGUAAAGGUAGUGGGUAAAGUCUACAGCUUUAGGUGUUAUGAUUGGGAGUAUCCUGAAAAGUCUCAUGACAAGAAACACCUUAAAGGUACAUUAAUUUAUAUUUCUUAAUCCUUUCGUUUUUAACUCGUAUAAACUUAUUUAUUUAUUUUUGAAAAACUUGAGUAAAUUAUUAUUGGCAUAAAAUCCUCAAUGGCAUUACAAAUAAAUUGACAAUAUAGUUUAAUAUGUUUCUGUUUAAUAAUACUCUAUAUUAUAUGUCUUUAAAUACAUUUUUAUUUCACUUUGUCUUUAAAUCAAAUUUGUAAUGCGGCAGGAGCUAUUGUGGAGGUGAAAUGCAAAGCUGGGAGAAAAAUAAUCAAAGCUUAAGGUAAAACUAAGAUCAAUGGAAAAUACAGCAUCACGGUUAAGGACUUCGACUACGUCAAAUAUGGUCCUACAGUAUGCAAAGCCACACUUUAUGCUCCACCUAAAGGCUCUCCUUUUAACAUACCUACAAAGCUAAAUGCGGGAACCAACUUGGAGUUGAAAUCCAAAGACAAGUAUGAGGUUGUACUUAAGGCUAAGCCAUUUGCUUAUGCUUCAAAGAAAUAUUUUAAAGAAUGUGAGAAACCCAAUCCUUCACCAACUCCUUACGACUACAAGUCACCUCCUCCUCCAGUACCGGUUUACAAGUACAACUCACCACCUCCACCGGUCCAUUAUUAUUCUCCUCCAUAUUACUACAAGUCACCUCCGCCUCCAUUGAAAUCACUUCCACCUUAUUAUUACAAGUCCCCACCUCCACCAUCACACCCUCCAUACUGCUACAAGUCACCACCCCCACCAUCACCAUCACCAUCACCUCCUCCACCAUACUAUUACAAAUCCCCACCUCCACUAUCACCAUCUUCACCACCACCUUACUAUUAUAAGUCACCUCCUCCACCCAAAGUGAUUUCAAACCCUCCAUACUACUAUAAGUCACCACCCCCACCAUCACCAUCACCUCCUCCACCAUACUAUUACAAGUCCCCACCUCCACCGUCACCAUCUCCACCACCAUUUUACUAUUAUAAGUCACCCCCUCCACCCAAAGAGAUCUCAAACCCUCCAUACUACUAUAAGUCACCACCCCUACCAUCACCAUCACCUUCUCCACCAUACUAUUAUAAGUCCCCACCUCCACCGUCACCAUCUCCACCACCAC
rnacentral:lncRNA from 1 species